GCCCUGGAGGUCCAGUAGUUAGGACUGGGCACUUUCACUGCUGGGGCCUAAGUUCAAUCCCUGGCCAGGGAA
rnacentral:tRNA from 1 species